CGUCAUUGGCCGAAAGGACAUUAAUGAUACAUUCGUAUGUGUGUGUACCCUCAGGGCUUUCUACAGUGGAGGGGGCAGGACUCAUGCCGCACAUAUACACACAAACAUGUGUUCCAGUCCGUUCAAAGGGUGUAUGGUGUGGGAAAGGAGAUGGGGGAGGUCCCAGCGUUCUUCACGGCCCGGGCAGCCAGGCUGUCAGGGACAGGCCCGGGUGAUGAAGCCUGUGAGGAGUUUGCAGAGAUGCUCCACACAACAAUGGUAAGAGCCGUCAGGUGGGUCAUAUCACAUUCAUUCAUCCCUCCCUCUCUCUCACCUUUCCAGUUGACCUGCUUAUUCUCUUGCUAUCUUUUAUUUCAGCACUUUUUUAUUCCUCUUUUCUCUCCUGCAUUCAGUCCACAACCACACCCCCAUGAUUCACAUGAUGCCUGUUUCUUGUUCUCCUUUCUCAAAAACCUCUUAUUAGAGGGAAUUGUUAAGACAAGCAUCACUGUUAGUACUAAUACUUAUGGUUAGGGAUUUGAACAAACCCCUAACACUAAUUAUUAAACUUUGGUUGAAUGAAUGAAUGAAACCUAAAAUAUAUCACAAUCCCAUAAUACUCCAGGAAGAAUUGGUGGCUUUUUGCAAUCAUUUACAGACCUAUCACAUGGUUUAGUCCUCUGAUUAAUCUGCAACCAAUAGGCCCAUCACCAUGGCAACUGUGAUAAUGACUAAGAGGAGUUUAACUACAACAGCCUCAUCCACUCGUAAACACAACCAACUGUUCUGGAGAUUGGUGUGAAACAAUCUGAUGUCUCUUUAUUUUAUAAUGUGAGGAAACACUUUUUUUCCCGAAAAACUCCUCGGUGUGUAAGUCGUCCUGCACCGGAGAGGUCGGCUAUUACUUUUGAAGCAAAAAAACAACAACAACUCUUCAGUAGUGACCCUUUCCACCCUACAAUAGCAACUGCAUAGCAUUGUGUUGAAAACCAUUCAGAAUAUCCUGGCAUAGCAACUUGCUAGCGAUUCAACACCCUAACAAUGGAGUAGCAGCAUGCUAACCAUUUACAACAUGCUUGAACUGGCAUAAUAACUUAUCAACAACCAUUCAGAACACCCUGGAAAUGGCAUAGCAACUCGCUAACCAUUCAGAACACCCUGGAAAUGCCAUAACGACUUACUAACAGCCAUUCAGAACACCUUAGCAAUGGCAUAGCCACAUGCUAACCCCUAGCAUGGUAGCAAUAGCACAGCAACAUGCUAACCAUUCAGAACAACUUACUAAAAAACUUUCAAAACACCAUAGAAAUUUCAUAGCAAAUUGUUAACUAUUCAAAACACCCUAGAAAUGGCAUAACAACUUACUAACAACCAUUCAGAAAACACUAGAUAUGGCAUAGCAACAUGCUAACCAUUCAGAACACCCUAGAAAUGGCAUAACAACUUUCUAACAACCAACCAUCCAGAAUACCCUAGCAAUGGCAUAGCAAAUAAAUUGCUAAUAAUAACCAUUUGGAACACCCUAGUAAUGGCAUAACAACAUUCUAACCUUUCAGAACACUUUAGCGACUGCAUAACACAACCCUGACAAUCAUCCUGUCAUUAUGGUGCCAGGUUUUGCGCAGUCAAUAUUUCCUCAGAAGUGUUCUGCACCCAUACUGAAACAUUCUCUUGAAGCAGCCAAUAAAAAGAUCUCUGAACACGUUUUGAGUUUAUGUGUGUGUGUGUGUGUGUGUGUGUGUGUGUGUGUGUGUGUGUGUGUGUGUGUGUGUGUGUGUUCUGAUAUAUGUUAUGACAGAUGUAGGUCUUUCUCAACAGUUUUUCGUGUGAAUGGGAAGUUUCUGGUCAUGUCAGACUUACGGGGAACCUUUAUCUUGGUUGUUAACCCCAAACCGUCACCGAUGGAAGUAUGUAUCGUGACUCAUUUAUCAUGUGGUCAUUUUGUUUCUGAAUUAUUCUACACCUCAGCAGCCAGUCAUUUCACUAAAAAUAUAUCCUCUGUGAUUACAUAACGGCAUUGCUGCAUUUAGAUUAUAUAUAAUAUUUGUUUUGUUUUAUGUUUUAAAUAGUUUUUUUCUUUUAUUUUACAAGUUGUACAAUUUUUACAUUUAGACAUGCCUGGUACUCGGACUAAUUCUAAUGUAUGUUAUCUCAUAAAAGGCGGUUCUCAACUGGUUUUGCAUUAGAUAUUAAGUUACCCAAUGCAGUACAGUGAAAAAAACAAGACCGAAACAACAACAACAACAAUAACAAUAAUUCACUGCACGAAAAACAUAUAGUGGUCAUGUUGGCAUUUGAUUCGGCUGACAUUUAACAGAUUAAUUUGCACCAAAAUAGUGUAGCUUUGAUUAGACACACAGGCUGUGAUGUCAACAAUAUAAUAUUGGAGGAGUUUUGAUUAUUUGUGUUCCCCAUAGUUUCCCCUGUAGUCCAUAACCCCAUAAAAACUGAUGGGGUAACAAACAACUAGUUGAGAACCACUGAUAUAUUUGUAUAAAUUCAUUUAUUUUGUUUAUUAGUGUUUAUGUGUGUGUGUGUGUGUGUGUGUGUGUGUGUGUGUGUGUGUGUGUGUGUGUGUGUGUGUGUGUAUUUUGUCCUGUCCACACAUUUUUCCACAAUACUGAAAAAGGGAGUGCUGAUAGAGAGAGAGGGAGGGAUAGCAAAAUUAAAAUGCAGUUCAGAACAGAAAUGAGAGCCUGAGUUGUUUGAAGAAAACUGACAUGUUAUUUUGCAUGAGUUACAAUGCGUGUCUGUUGCCUUUUCUACCUCUCCUAUCUGUUUCUCUCCUGCACUCUCUCUCUCUCUCUUUCUCUCUUUUUCUAUCUCUCACUCCCUCUCUGUCACUGUUUGGUCAUUCUGACGUCCGCUUCACAGCAUCUCUCACUGGCGCUGCAGGAGUGUUUCCCUGUGCAGUCUGUAGCCUGAUUCCCCCCCAAAUCUCUCCUUUUGCUCCUCAUGUGCUCUGAGACUGAAGACGACACACUUUCUACUUCUGUGGCUUUCUUUUUUUUAAAUCUACUGAAAUCUUCUGCCACUUUGAAUCCGAAAUCAUCCACCAGUUGCGUUGCAAGCGAAGACGAAGCGGGUCCCUUUCUCCGAAACGGAUUUGAAACAAUGUAGCUUGCUUUUUGUAAACUACAUUUUGUCCAGGACAGUAUCCGCAAUAGCAUUGCAAAUAUUGAGUAGUUGUCUACUUUUUUUUUUUUGCACAUUUUUCAGCUUUGACGGAGCACAUGAAGUGAUUAAUGGGUAUUUGUGUGUUUUACUAAUUUGUUUAUGUGUUUCUAGGUGUGUUUCUGUGCUUGUAUGACGUCUAACAGCAUAACAGAAUGGUUCCAGACGUCCUUUGCCCAAAGGUCAAGGGCAUGGGGAUUAUAUAUCAAGUGUCUCUGUCGUCAUGUUGGUUUCUAGAGAUCACCAGACAUAUCGCACGUGUACGACUGCACACACACGAGCAAGGCAGGCACAAAGCAGCUCAACAGACGAGUCCUCAUCAGCUGCAUCCGUUCAUAGUCAUGAACAGCUGUUUUAGUCACUGAAACAGCAUCCUUUUUUCUUAUUGAUAUUUAUGUGUGCUUUCAUUUUAUUUAAAACAAGUGUUAGACAUGCAAAAAUGUCUACAUUCUUGCUUAACUUGGACUAACCCUGUUAAAAAAUGCUAAUUUUGUUUUCUGAAUCAUUGUUUCUGGCACUGAAAGGGUUAGUUAGUCUGUGAAUUCUCCCCUGCCAACUCCCAGGCAGUUGAAGUAACCCAAUUCGGAGGCAUCUGUUCGGGGAAGGGCAUGUAUCUGCUUCCCCCUCGCCCUGAUUCCUCUCCGCUCAUCUCCUCCUCCCGGAGCUGUGGUUAGCCCUGCCCUUACAGGUCAUGUGACUUCUCUGAAACUCCCUCCUCCCCUGCCUCCCCCCGUGUUUCCAGUAAACUGCUGAAAGGAGGGGCUGAGUCAGUCUUCAACCAGCUUCCCUUUGACCACAGCUUGUUAAAGAAUUUGUCAACGUGGACUCCAGGGUGUAAAUUUUUUUCGUCCUUGUGAUAGAUUUGAAUUUUUUCAUCUCUCCCUCCCUGGACUGGUCCGAUUACGUCAGGCACCCAUAAUCACUUCCUGCACUUUGCCGUAGAAAGAGAGUGUGUGCGUAUGAGAGAGAGAGAGAGAGAGAGAGAGAGAGAGCGGCUCAUAUAAUGGACUUUGAUAUUUGGAGGCAUGUGUGCCAGAGACAUUUGUCUUGGUGCCUGUCUGAAAAGGUUUCAUUCAGAAAAAAGACGGGAAUAAUAAUCCAAGAAGGGGGGGGGGGGGUACAAUUUUGUUUUUAACUUGAUUACGAUCUUCCUGUGAUUCUCCCAGCUGGCGAUCUGAUUUUCCAGUAUUAGAUCAUGCGUAAUAUUUGCUUUUGCAAACUCACUUGCUCCACAGACAGAUAAAUUAACUUUUUGUGUAAAUGAAACGGAAACUGAUGCAAAUAAACUCUAAGCUACCACUGAAAUCUUUUACCUAAC
ensembl:lncRNA